rnacentral:rRNA from 1 species
GACGUAGGGCGCGAGCGUUGUCCGGAUUUAUUGGGCGUAAAGAGCUCGUAGGCGGCUUGUUGCGUCGACCGUGAAAACCCGGGGCUCAACUUCGGGCUUGCGGUCGAUACGGGCAUCACUGGAGUUCGGCAGGGGAGACUGGAAUUCCUGGUGUAGCGGUGAAAUGCGCAGAUAUCAGGAGGAACACCGGUGGCGAAGGCGGGUCUCUGGGCCGAUACUGACGCUGAGGAGCGAAAGCAUGGGUAGCGAACAGG